CGAACGGGUGAGUAACGCGUGAGGAACCUGCCUCAAAGAGGGGGACAACAGUUGGAAACGACUGCUAAUACCGCAUAAGCCCACGGCUCGGCAUCGAGCAGAGGGAAAAGGAGCGAUCCGCUUUGAGAUGGCCUCGCGUCCGAUUAGCUAGUUGGUGAGGUAACGGCCCACCAAGGCGACGAUCGGUAGCCGGACUGAGAGGUUGACCGGCCACAUUGGGACUGAGACACGGCCCAG
rnacentral:rRNA from 1 species